rnacentral:lncRNA from 1 species
CUCUCUACUUCUUUUCAAUGUCUUCAUUCUCGAUGUCUCCUUUUCUCCAUUAAUACCUCCCUCUCACCCUCACGGCUCCUCUUGCGCCGCGUCGCGCCGGCGCCUCCCGCCGUCGCUGCCACUUUGCUCUCUCAUCGUCGGCCGCCGUGGCGCAGGCGGCGCCCGGCAGCGUCGUCCAGCCACAAUCCCUUUACAGUAGCUUCUUUUUCAUUGUUUAUUUCUCUUCACUUCUUCAUAAUUCUGAUCCACUGGUCGUCGAACUGAUCGGCCAUAACCACUAACAUCUUACUCCCUCUUAUCUUCUCUUCUUUCCCCUGAUUUAUGGGAAUGGCCGAAUGAUUGAGAAUUUGUGAGGCUGAACUGAUAUUUAUAUUAGAUCAUUUCUUGGAGCCAAAGCAUCCCUUGAUUUGUG